GGGAAAAUGCUCUCUUUAUGGAUCAGCAGCAGUCUGUCUUAAACUUGGAUAUUUGGAGAAGCAUUUUCCAACAUACUCUCACAGAUAAAUGACUUGGGAUUGUCUGAUCUACCUUUCACUGGGAAAUGAUUUGAAAGGCUUCCCUGAAAGCCUCCAAUGCUUUUGAGGUUUGAUGUCUAGGACUUCUGACACUGGCUUCCCACUGAAUUUAGGAGAGCAAGGUUGUCGUGGCAUCUGCAAGCCACAAAAAUAGAUAAAGAAAUAUUAUCGAAGUAACUUGAAUUAGUAGAACAAUGACAAGAAUUCAAGAUUCAGAGGAACGGGUUGGUCAUGCAAAAAGUAAAAUAAAAUGGAUGCCAUAAAGAGAAGGGUGGUUAAAUGAUCCUAGAGGAGUGGAGUGGUGCCUUAUCGUUCAUCCAGUGACUGGACUACUGGUUGUCG